UACGGAGGGUGCAAGCGUUAUCCGGAUUCACUGGGUCUAAAGGGUGCGUAGGCGGGUAAGUAAGUCCGUGGUGAAAUCUCUGAGCUUAACUCAGAAACUGCCGUGGAUACUAUUUGCCUUGAAUAUUGUGGAGGUGAGCGGAAUAUGUCAUGUAGCGGUGAAAUGCUUAGAUAUGACAUAGAACACCAAUUGCGAAGGCAGCUCACUACACAAUCAUUGACGCUGAGGCACGAAAGCGUGGGGAUCUAACAGG
rnacentral:rRNA from 1 species